UACGUAGGGUGCAAGCGUUAAUCGGAAUUACUGGGCGUAAAGCGUGCGCAGGCGGUUGUGUAAGACAGAUGUGAAAUCCCCGGGCUCAACCUGGGAACUGCAUUUGUGACUGCACAGCUGGAGUGCGGCAGAGGGGGAUAGAAUUCCGCGUGUAGCAGUGAAAUGCGUAGAUAUGCGGAGGAACACCGAUGGCGAAGGCAAUCCCCUGGGCCUGCACUGACGCUCAUGCACGAAAGCGUGGGGAGCAAACAGG
rnacentral:rRNA from 1 species